CAAAUACUCCCUCCGUUCGGAAUUACUUGUCGCGAAAAUAGAUGUAUCUAGAACUAAAAUACGUCUAGAUACAUCCAUUUCUGCGACAAGUAAUUCCGAACGGAGGGAGUACCAC
rnacentral:pre_miRNA from 1 species